rnacentral:lncRNA from 1 species
CGGGCACGGUGGCUCAAGCCUGUAGUCUCAGUGCUUUGGGAGACUGAGGUGGGAACAUAGCUUGAGCUCAGGAGUUCGAGACCAGCCUGGGCAACAUAGUGAGACCCCCGUGUCUGCAAAUAAUUUUAAAACUUGGCUGGGCACGGUGGCUCAUGCCUGUAAUCCCAGCACUUUGGGAGGCCGAAGCGGGUGGAUCACUUGAGGUCAGGAUUUCGAGACCAGCCUGGCCAACAUGGUGAAACCUCAAAUCUACUAAAAAUACAAAAAUUAGCUGGGCAUGGUGGCACAUGCCUGUAGUUCCAGCUACUUCGGAGGCUGAGACAAGAGAAUCACUUGAACCUGGGAGGCGGAGGUUGCAGUGAGCCAUGAUAGCACCGUUGCAUUCUAGUCUGGGUGACAGAGCAAGACCUUGUCUCAAAAAAAAAAAAAAAAAAAAAAAGAAAAAAGAAAAAAAGACUUGAAAGCAGGGACUAGAAGGGAAGAUAUGUGUACACCUGUGUUCAUAGCAGCAUAGUUCACAAUUAGCCAUAAGGUAGAAGCAACCAAGUACCCAUCGAGGGACAUGAAUGAGUAAACGCAAUGUGGUAUGUACAGUCAUCUACAGUCGUCCCUCGGUAUCUGUGGGCAGUGGUUCCAGGACCCCUGCUGGAUCCCAAAAUCCAUGGUUGCUUAAGCCCCUCAUAAGAUGGUGUAGAAUUGCCGGGCGUGGUGGCUCACACCUGUAAUCCCAGCACUUUGGGAGCCUGAGGUGGGUGGAUCACGUAAGGUCAGGAGUUCGAGACCAGCCUGGCCAACAUGGUGAAACCGUUUCUACUAAAAAUACAAAAAUUAGCCGGGUGUGGUGGUGGGUGCCUGUAAUCCCAGCUACUCAGGAGGCUGAGGCAGGAGAAUCACUUGAAUCCAGGAGGUGGAGGUUGCGGUGAGCCGCGAUCACACCAUUGUACUCCCAGCCUGGGUGACAAGAGCAAAACCUCCGUCUCAAAAAAAAAAAAAGAUGUAGAAUUUACAUAUAACCUAUGCACAUCCUCCCAUAUACUUAUAAAUCAUCUCUAGAUUACAAGUACAGAUUUAGAUAAUACCUAAUACGAUGUACAUGAUAUAGAAAUAGUUAUUAUGCUGUAUUCUUUAAUGAAUAAUGACCCUGAAAAAGUCUAUGUUCAGAACAGACAAAACUAUCUAUUUUUUCCCCCUAAUAUUUUCAGUCAGCGGUUGGUUGAAUCCAUGAAUGUGGAACCUGCAGAUGCGGAGGGCCAACUAUCUUUUUUUUUUUUUUUGAGAUGGAGUCUCAUUCUGUCACCUAGGCUGGAGUGCAAUGGCACAAUGUGGGCUCAUCGCAACCUCCGCCUUCCAGGUUCAAGCGAGUCUCCUGCCUCAGCCUCCAGAGCAGCUGGGAUUACAGGCACCCACCACCAUGCCUGAAAAAUGUUUUCUAUUUUUAGUAGAGACAGGGUUUCACCAUUGGCAGGCUGGUCUCGAACUCCUGACCUCAAGUUAUCCACCUGCUUUGACCUCCCGAAGUGCUGGGAUUACAGACGUGAG